UACAUACUGUGCGAACGUUAUUCGGAUUCACUGGGCUUAAAGGGUGCGUAGGCGGCUUGCUAAGUAGGGUGUGAAAUCCCCCAGCUCAACUGGGGAACUGCACUCUAUACUGGCGAGCUAGAGUGAGAUAGGGGUGUGUGGAACUGCCAGUGGAGCGGUGAAAUGUGUUGAUAUUGGCAGGAACGCCGGUGGCGAAAGCGACACACUGGGUCUCAACUGACGCUGAGGCACGAAAGCCAGGGGAGCGAACGGG
rnacentral:rRNA from 1 species